UAUGACAUAAAAAAGAAUUUUAUUAUGAGGAAUUGGUUCAUGUGAUCAUCGAGACUGAGAAGUCCCACAAUCUGCCAUCCACAAGCUGGAGAUCCCUAAGUCUGAAGGCCUGAGAACCAGAGAAGCCAAUGGUGUAAAUCCCAUUUACAAAGGCAGGAAAAGGUGAGAUGAGCUCUCCCAAGUCAAGCAGUUAGAUAGAAAAAAAGGGGGGCAGGGAUGGGGAAAUUCCUCCUUCCUCCAUCUUCUGUUCUAUUCUGGCCCCCAAAAGAUUGGAUGUUGGAUGAUGCCCACCCAUAUUGGUGAGUACAAUCUACUUUCAUGAGUCCCCUGGCUCAAAUGCUGAUCUCAUCUGGAAACUUCCUUACAGAUAGACCUAGAUAUAAUGUUUAAUAUGGGCCCUCUGUGGCCCAGUCAAGUUGACAUAUGAAGCUAGUCAUUACAACUGAAUAAAGUACUCAUUCAUUCAGCCAUUCAAAUAACUAAUAUUUAUAAAGUUUCUGUUAUAUAAUAAACCCUAUUUUAGGUACCGGUUGUCCUACAUUACUAAGCAGAUUUAGAAAACAAUUGGAAAGAAAAACUAAGUUAAGAGAGUAAUGGGAUAGGAUGAGACAAAUGGAACAAGAAGAAUGACUAACUUCAGCAGUUGACAAUAUUUUUGCCUGAUAUUCCGCUAGAAAGUCCUCAAAUAUUAACUUUUGCCAUGUACAUAAAUAAAAUGUCUAUGAUCUAAUGGCAAUUUAGAUUGUAAAUGGCAAUUUAGAUGUAAAGAUCUGCUAGAUAUGUCUACUGGCCCUGGGCCACCAUUUCUCCCACCUUCUAUAUCCUGUCCUCCUUAACUGCAGGGCUGGGAUGCUAAAGACUGCACUCCCCAGGCUUCCACAUGAUUUAAGUUCCACUGAUGAUGUGCAGUUGUAUGAGAUUUGGAAGGAAAUGAGAGAAGAGGUUAUUCUUCUUUCCAUGACAGUGCAGUGGAAAACAAUGUUGAGGGUAGACAUGAAUUGGCAGCCUCUGAACUCUAUGUCACUAUCUAUUUACUAAAACUCUGUGGUACAGGUAAGCUCAAAUAUAUUCUCAUAAAGUCCUAAUUUCUGGGUGAUCUUAGCAGUUUUUAAUGUCUGGAUCAGAAAGGUGGAGAUAUGCCACCUUUAAACCAAAAGGCUGGCAUGUACCCUCUAAUUUCUAUUCCUCAAGACCUUUUAAUGGCACGUAAUUGCUUAAUCUCCUGAAAUAAUCCAUUUCUACUUGGAAUACCUUGAGGAGUCCUUGCACUAGCACCUGAAUUAUAAAAAAUGGAACUGCAGAUUUUAUUUUGGUUUAUACUUUCAUUUAACUCUGUGUUCCUUUCCCGCCCAUUGCCUUUAGCAUAUAAAAAACUGCAAGCAGGGUCUUUCACUUGGCACAGACUGGUGGACUGGACUGACUCUCAGAGAGUCUACUUCAGCCUUGAUAAUUUUGGGAGUAUUAGAGAAAUGAUUACAUGUAGCAUUUGGAACAGAUUAUUUCCUGUGGUGAAGGGAAAAGAGAUGGAACAAUGUGUUUUUCUUUUCUGUUAGGACACAUAGACCUAUUUGAAUGUACCAUCGAUAAAACCAUCAAGAUUGACUUCCCUAUUUCCUCAAAUGUUAAAUAUAGAGUUACCAAAUGAUAUAGCAAUUCUGCUCCUAAGAAUGUACCCAAGAAAAGCAAAGCCCAUGUCCACACAAAAACAUAUACAUAAAUGUUUACAAAAGGAUUAUUCAAAUAACGGAAAAGCAGAAAUGGAAAUAAUCGAAAUGUCCAUCAACUGAUGAAUAGGUAAACCAAAGAUGGUAUAGCAUAAGAAUAGGUAAACCAAAGAUGGUAUAGCCAUAAAAUGGAAUAUUAUUCAGCCAUAAAGAAGAACGUAAUGACACAUAUGUUACAAAGGAUGAACCUUAAAAAUAUGCUAAAUGAAAGAAGCUAUUCACAAAAGAUCACAUAUUAUAUGAUUCUAUUUAUAUGAACUGUCCUGAAUAGCCAAAUCUAUAGCGACAGAAAAUAGAUUGGUGGGUGUCAGGGGUUUGGAAUAUGGGGAGAGACUGCUAAAGCUUUUAUUUGAGGUGAUAAAAAUGUUCUAAAAUUAGAUAAUAGUGAUGGCUGCACAACUCUGUAAAUAUACCAAAACUCACUGAACUGUAUACUUAAACAGGGUAAACUUUACAGUAUAUGAAUAUACCAUAUUUAUCUUUCAAUAAAGCUACUGUUUAAAAACUUAUUUUUCCUCCUAGGCACUUCACUAAAAUAAAUCACAGAGUGGCACUGGCUGAGGAAGAAGUCUUAUAGUACCUGCAACAGAUAGUGAUAAUUUUCCUUCUGUCAAGAUAAAACCCAUUUACUGGAUUCUUCAUCAUCAGGACUCCAUGUGAUCUGGUAGAAUUGAAAAUCACAGAGCUUCAUUUUUCCCUACUUCCCACCAUAAUAUCCCAUCCCCCAAUUGCAGUAGUAAGUUCAGGUGUAUUCACUUGAUCUGAAUAGAGUAAAUUAAUGUAUUUAUUCAGGGUUAUGCUACAUAACUAUUAGGGCGAAAAGUUUCUCUUUCUGCUUGGGUUGCUAAUCUAGGAAAUUCCUGGAGCUGUUGCUGGUCAUUUUACUACUACAUGGAGAGAAACCAAGCAGAAAAAUGCUGAGAUAAGAGAGGAAGGAUACAGAGAACCUGACAUUACUUGGGACCCUAAAUGUAUUUAAUAGCUGCCUGUAUAUAGACAUCCCCCUAGAUCUUUGAAAUAAAUGAGCCUAUAAAUAUCAAGGUGUAAGCUGGUUUAAAUGGAGCCUCUCUGAGUUUCAAUGAAAAGAGUCCCCCAAUGCAAUAUUUCUUUACAUCAGCCCAAGAAAAAUUUACAAGCUAGGGAAGAAUGUUAUGGAAAAUAAACUGUUAAGACUAACAAAAGAAACCAGUAAAUAUUAUUGGAAAAAAAGAAGGAAGGAAGGAAGGAAGGAUGGAAGGAAAGAUAGAAGGAAGGAGCAGAAAAGAGGAAGGGAGGGAAACUGAAGCAAAGAUGGAAGAAAAGAUGCAAGUGAGGGAAUACUUGAAGAUAAUAAAAUUGUCACAAUUAUCGCCAUAUAUCAGCAUGUGAAUGGAAGGAAUCUCAUUUCUUUUCCAAUAAUUUACUUCCCAAAGGGAAAAAUGAUAGGCAUUUUAUUUUUUUCAUUUGAAAAUUUAGAAAUAGAAACAUUAAACAGUAGUCCUAGUAACUGAGACCAAUGUUAUAUGCAUUAUCAUUAAAAUAAAGGCAAUCAGUUGUUGAAAUUCUAGGUCCAUGUGAAAUACAAAUAAAAACUCUCCCCUUUCACCCGUAAACCGAGACUAGUACUGGGGAAAGCAGCUAAACUACAUAAAGAAAAAAUAAAAACAAAAUGAAGCGGGAUAAAACACAUGGCUUAAAAGAUAUUAGUUGGUUAACUUAAUCAUGUGUUGUAUUAAAUUAUGUAUUUUUCAAUGCCUAAGGAAAUGUUUAAUUUUUAUGACAAGCACAAAUUUUUACAAAGUUUAUAGUGUGUUACUUUUCUACAAGAAGGAAAAAGAAUGUCAACUGCAAAGCCUCAUUCUGUAUUCUUAAAUCCUCAGCCUUUUCUGAAAUGUACAUACUUGUCUAAUUAAAAGAACAUGAUCUGGCCA